GACGAGGGGUCCUAGCGUUGUUCGGAAUCAUUGGGCGUAAAGCGUAUGUAGGCGGCUUUGCAAGUCAGUUGUGAAAGCCCCGGGCUCAACCCGGGAAGUGCUUCUGAUACUGCUUAGCUUGAAUAUUGGAGAGGAUAGUAGAAUUCCAGGUGUAGUGGUGAAAUGCGCAGAUAUCAGGAAGAACACCCGUGGCGAAAGCGGCUCUCUGGAACGGUACUGACGCUGAGACGCGAAAGCGUGGGGAGCGAACAGG
rnacentral:rRNA from 1 species